rnacentral:rRNA from 1 species
UACAGAGGGGGCAAGCGUUGUUCGGAAUUACUGGGCGUAAAGGGCGCGUAGGCGGCCUGUUAAGUCGAACGUGAAAUCCCCGGGCUCAACCCGGGAACUGCGUCCGAUACUGGCAGGCUUGAAUUCGGGAGAGGGAUGUGGAAUUCCAGGUGUAGCGGUGAAAUGCGUAGAUAUCUGGAGGAACACCGGUGGCGAAGGCGGCGAUCCUGGACCGAUAUUGACGCUGAUGCGCGAAAGCCAGGGGAGCAAACGGGG